AUUUUCUUCUGCAAGGCUCCACAAGGAGGCUGCAGUCAGAGGGCCUCAGUCAGUCCUGACCUCUGGGUUGGCUGUCACAAGACCAAAAGUUUGUACCUGGGUUCUUCCCCGUGACCGGCUGAAAUGACUCACUUCGCCAGGCCUGUACGGAGAUCACAGAGGCCUACUUCAUAGCAGUGGCAACAGGAACAGAGCAAGAAGUACUGAGAAACUGGAGAUGUUCCUCUGAAAACACUAUCCCACACUGAGCAUAGAGCAGCAGUAUGGCCUUCCAUCUUUACCCUGGCAUAUAUCUUUGCAGACCCUGAAGACAGGAAAAUUCCAGUGUCCUAGCACUGUGUGGGCUGUCCUGCAUCACUUUGUCUCAGUGUAAAGUUCUCAAACAAAGCACCACCUUCCAGGAUUCUCUGUAAACUUUCCUUUUCUUUCAACUUCACACAGAAACUUCCAGAA